AGCGAACGCUGGCGGCGUGCCUAACACAUGCAAGUCGAGCGAAGGCAUGAGUGUAGCAAUACACUUAUGUACUUAGCGGCGGACGGGUGAGUAACACGUGGAUAAUCUGCCCUGAGGACCGGGACAACUCUUGGAAACGGGAGCUAAUACCGGAUGUGACCACGAUGCUUGAGGGCAUUGGGGUAAAAGGCGGCCUGCAAGGGCUAUUGCCUUGGGAUGAGUCACGACCCAUCAGGUAGUUGGGGAGG
rnacentral:rRNA from 1 species